CCCUUAGGUGUUCUGGGCCGCACGCGCGCUACACUGACGAAGUCAGCGAGCAUGUCCUACGCCGACAGGUGCGGGGAAUCUUGUCAAACUUCGUCGUGAUGGGGAUUGAUUAUUGAAAUUCUUGAUCAUCAACGAGGAAUUCCUAGUAAGCGCAAGUCAGCAGCUUGCGUUGAUUACGUCCCUGCCCUUUGUACACACCGCCCGUCGCUACUACCGAUUGAAUGGUUUAGUGAGAUCUUCGGAUUGGCGCCACUGCGGCUCAGCAAUGGGCUCGGUGGAUGCCGAAAAGUUGAUCAAACUUGAUCAUUUAGAGGAAGUAAAAGUCGUAACA
rnacentral:rRNA from 1 species